AACGAACGCUGGCGGCAUGCCUAACACAUGCAAGUCGAACGAGACCUUCGGGUCUAGUGGCGCACGGGUGCGUAACGCGUGGGAACCUGCCCUUAGGUUCGGAAUAACUCCCCGAAAGGGGUGCUAAUACCGGAUAAUGUCUUCGGACCAAAGAUUUAUUGCCUUUGGAUGGGCCCGCGUUGGAUUAGCUAGUUGGUAGAGUAAAAGCCUACCAAGGCGACGAUCCAUAGCUGGGCUGAGAGGAUGAUCAGCCACACUGGGACUGAGAAACGGCCCAGACUCCUACGCGAAGCAGCAGUGGGGAAUAUUGGACAAUGGGCGGAAGCCUGAUCCAGCAAUGCCGCGUGAGUGAUGAAGGCCUUAGAGUUGUAAAGCUCUUUUACCCGGGAUGAUAAUGACGGUACCGGGAGAAUAAGCUCCGGCUAACUCCGUG
rnacentral:rRNA from 1 species